rnacentral:rRNA from 1 species
GACGAACGCUGGCGGCAUGCCUAAUACAUGCAAGUUGAACGAUGAUAUUCUCUGCUUGCAGAGAAUUGAAGAGUAGCGAACGGGUGAGUAACACGUGGGGAACCUGCCCAUGAGAGGGGGAUAACAUUCGGAAACGGAUGCUAAUACCGCAUAAUGCUUUGGACCGCCUGGUCCAGAGACGAAAGACGGCUUUUGCUGUCACUCAUGGAUGGCCCCGCGCCGUAUUAGCUAGUUGGUGAGGUAAUGGCUCACCAAAGCUGUGAUACGUAGCCGACCUGAGAGGGUGAGCGGCCACACUGGGACUGAGACACGGCCCAGACUCCUACGGGAGGCAGCAGUAGGGAAUCUUCCACAAUGGGCGAAAGCCUGAUGGAGCAAUGCCGCGUGAAUGAAGAAGGUCUUCGGAUCGUAAAGUUCUGUUAUUAGAGAAGAACAAGUCAAGGAGUAACUGUCUUGACUUUGACGGUACCUAACCAGAAAGUCACGGCUAACUACGUG